rnacentral:rRNA from 1 species
UACGGAGGGUGCAAGCGUUAAUCGGAAUUACUGGGCGUAAAGCGUGCGUAGGCGGUUCGUUAAGUCUGUUGUGAAAGCCCCGGGCUCAACCUGGGAAUGGCAAUGGAUACUGGCGAGCUAGAGUGUGUCAGAGGAUGGUGGAAUUCCCGGUGUAGCGGUGAAAUGCGUAGAGAUCGGGAGGAACAUCAGUGGACGAAGGCGGCCAUC